GCCGGGGGCAGCGCGCAGAGCUGGUUCCGCGGGGCUGCGCGCCCGCGGGAGCCGCGCCCGCCCCGCUGGCGCUGGCUGCCGGCUCCACCGGCACCGCGGGCACGGGGAGUGGGGCGGGAAAAGUUCUGAUUUUUGAUGUUGGAGGGGUUUACCCCCCCUUUUUUUUUUUUUUUUUUUGUGGUUUUUACCCCCAAAACAGAUAAGGGAACGCCGGGCAGGGAGCUCGCCCCAGGCCCUGCACGUAUCCCGUAGCGCGGCUGAGGCUGUGCAGGGCUGGCUGCACGGGGACCGAGGGAGGUGCCUGGAGUGGCUGCUGGAAGCGAGCGCAGCCGCUUCCCAGCCAGGUCCCAGCACAUGGACCCCACGCUUCCCUCCGAACGGGGCCGUGGGACAAGCCCCUGCCACCGCAGUGCCCCAUCCCGCUCCGGCAGCGGCCCCCGGCAGGGUGGAGAGCGGCGCAGUUUAUCGAUUUGACCUGGCCAGCCCAGCACCAAAAAGCAGAGGAAGAAAAUGCUGGCAAGGAUGAAGGAUGGAGGUCCUCUUUUCCCGUUCUUCUUCUGAUAUCUGUCAUGAUUGUUGGGAUGGAAGGCGCUGGUGGUGUCCUUGAAGGUGACAAGGCAAGCAGCAUCACCUGAACAGGCAGACCGAGUAUUUAAUGUACUACUGAAACAAAUAUGCCAAGGGGUUUUGCCAGUCAUCUGGAUCACAGAAACUGGGAAGUGAAAAAGAACAGGUAGACUUUUACAAUGCAUUUUCCUGCCAAAGUAAGAUUGUUCCCUGCAGUAUUUUCUAGUGUACUUCCCUGGCCUAUUUUAGAUGACCUUGUAGGAUGGGGAGAGGCAGGAGAAGGAAAUCUGCUAGUUACCUCUGAAAGCUCUUUGUCUAGUUUGACUAAUAUAACAUAAAGCAAGGGAAAAUGAGUGUUCAGAGGAUGUAGCUACAACACAAUAUUUAAUGUAAUUUUUGCAAGCUUUUUCAUCUCCAGCCUACUUACUAUGCCUACCACUAUGCCAGUAACAUCAGAUAGAUGAAAAGAGAAAGUAACAAAAAUAGUGUCAAUAGUCCACCUUUGCAUGAUUGCUCUUCUUUCUCUUAGCAGGAUUGUCUUGGGUGCUUUCUUCCCUUGCGAGGAAAAAUAAAUGGUAAGAGCUGCAAUGAUUGGCAGCAAGCCUGAGAACAGCAGAUGUGAGCCUGCACAGCUGGACAAAUACAAAAAUGCACUUUCUACCUACAUUUGUAUUAAGGUUGCCCCAGGGAUACCCCAGUGCCUACAGGGGGGUUCAGUAUUUGAACAGCCGAAGCCAUCAGGCACAUUUACAUAUAUGAGAACACUUGGUAUCCUUUUCAAAGUCAAAAAGAGCAACAAUUAAACCAACAUAAAGGAAAA